rnacentral:misc_RNA from 1 species
GAUGAAGAACGCAGCGAAAUGCGAUACGUAAUGUGAAUUGCAGAAUUCAGUGAAUCAUCGAAUCUUUGAACGCAUAUUGCGCUCUCUGGUAUUCCGGAGGGCAUGCUUGUUUGAGUAUCAGUAAACACCUCAACUUCCAUAUCUUUUUUGAAAUGGGAGUUGGACUUGAGUGAUCCCAACGCUUUUCCUCACCGAAAAGUGGCGGGUUACUUGAAAUGCAGGUGCAGCUGGACUUUUCUCUGAGCUAUAAGCAUAUCUAUUUAGUCUGCCUAAAAAACAGAUUAUUACCUUUGCUGCAGCUAACAUAAAGGAGAUUAGUUCUUGUGCUGACUGAUGCAGGAUUCACAAAGACGGCUUCGGCCGACUUUGUAAACUCGAUCUCAAAUCAAGUAAGACUACCCGCUGAACUUAAGCAUAUCAAUAAGCGGAGGA